rnacentral:rRNA from 1 species
UAACCUGCCCAAGAGAUCGGGAUAACACCUGGAAACAGAUGCUAAUACCGGAUAACAACAGAUGAUGCCUAUCAACUGUUUAAAAGAUGGUUCUGCUAUCACUCUUGGAUGGACCUGCGGUGCAUUAGCUAGUUGGUAGGGUAACGGCCUACCAAGGCGAUGAUGCAUAGCCGAGUUGAGAGACUGAUCGGCCACAUUGGGACUGAGACACGGCCCAAACUCCUACCGGGAGGCAGCAGGA